rnacentral:rRNA from 1 species
UACGGGGGGGGCAAGCGUUGUUCGGAAUUACUGGGCGUAAAGGGCUUGUAGGCGGCCAACUAAGUCCGACGUGAAAUCCCCAGGCUUAACCUGGGAACUGCGUCGGAUACUGGAUGGCUUGAAUUCGGGAGAGGGAUGCGGAAUUCCAGGUGUAGCGGUGAAAUGCGUAGAUAUCUGGAGGAACACCGGUGGCGAAGGCGGCAUCCUGGACCGGGAUUGACACUGAGGCGCGAAAGCCAGGGGAGCAAACGGG